rnacentral:lncRNA from 1 species
UUCCAUCUGCAGACUCCAUUUUGACAUUACUCCAGUCCUUCUUUUUCCUAAGUAACUAUUAUUUUGUUGUUUUCUGUUUUCUUCCUAUAGCACUCAACUGGUUUGCAGCCUCAAUGACUUUUCAGUGUGUUCUUAUAAAUUCUCUCUCCAUCUGCUUCAUUCUCAAUGGAUAAGCAAAAGCACCUUGGGGUCCAAUCCUGUGAGUGCUGAAUCCCUUCAAUUCCCAGUGACAUCAAUGAGCGCUGCAGGAAGGAUUCAGCACCUUGAAUGAUCUUGAACGUCUGUAUGGUUAUGGUGCAUCAGCUGAAUAUACUGUCAGUACUGGCGGUACUUCUUACAUCCCUGAGACACAAGACCCCAGGAGUGGAGACUCUCUCCCAAAUCCUUAGGUCCUCUGUGCCAGGAGCAGUGUGUACAGCUCAGCUGGUUUGCAGACGUGUUUUUUUAGACAUCCUUGACACAUAG